CUCCUCCUCUGAACUCCCGCCGCCAGCCUCAGCUUCCCUUACCGAGCGUCUAGAGCGUCCGUCACCACAGAGAAGGAAUCCCGAGAGAAUGGGGCGGUCACCGAAGAGCGAGGCGCCGGCUAUCCGUCCCGGACCAGCCGGCUCGGAUCGGAACAGAAUGUUUUAAACUGGGACCUGAAAAUGGCCCGGCAUCCAAAGGCCUGUGAUCACACCCCUGUGUAGGUUCAUACCUGUUUUCCAAGGAUUACCUCGGAGGUGGGAGUUCUAAUCUAAAGAAUGCACGACUUCCCUAUUACUGGUGUCCUGUCAGAAGGACCCUUUUUGUCCGAGGUGGAAAAGGAGUGCCUGAAGAGGAACCAGAUGAAAAACGAGGACCUGCACUGAACGCCUCCUGCAUGCAGGUGUUCCCUUUUAAGGACUUGCUGGAGUGACCUGCGGGUCGGCAGGUCUUCUGUCCCCUCGGGACUCGGUGCCCCCUGGGUACAGUGAAUUGCUGCCUUUCAGCAGCGCCCAGGUGCACCCCAAGCGGCUCGCAAGAGAGCUACUGAUUGCACAGAUCCACGCCCAGCUCUCGCAGGACCAGCUGCUCCCCCAUAACUAUUCACACGCACGUGCACAAGCGUGCACCAGCCCCCUCCAGCAGAACUGCAAAAUCAAAGCGCGGAUUGUGCACAACGUUCGUCCCAAGUCCUCUUCGCCAGCUCCUGAAUGGCUCCUUUGUGCUGUAUUUUACAGUUCUGACCUUGGGCCGUGAGUUGGAUACGAACUAAAAAAGUCUGGUUUGUCUCUUUCCUUAAAUUAAUGAUCCCUUUCCCCGUAAAACGACUUUUUAUUUGGCAGUUUUACUUAAUUUUUCCUUUCCUGGAGUACAUGAGACGUUGCCUCCUGAUGGUUAGAAUUGGAAACAGAGUCAAGGACGGAAGCACUGUGCAUGGCAUAAGCCAUCAAAUUAACAGAGUCACAUUUUAUAGAGGCGAAAUUAGAAGUCAAAUUAGAGGUUCAACUUCUCAGAAAACACGAAAAACCGUUUGAUGGAUUUAAUACCCAUUAUGAGAAAUAUAAUAAAGGAAAUAUCGUCCUCUAGUGGAUAUCUACAGGAAAUAAAGUUUUUUUUCUUUGUUCAUUUUCUUCAAAAAUAAAGGCUUGACUGGAAAGGUACAUUAACUAAAA